GACACCGUUUCCCCGUUUCCUAAAGUUCCCAUUCCCUAACCGUCAUGCGGUUGACCCUAACUGAAACUGCCAGAAACACAGAACACAACCAAAAAGUCGUUAACCUCAACACCACCGUACACGGCGAUGGCCACCACACAACCACCAUUCCUUCUCCGCCACAUAAUAAAAUCCGACCAAAAAAUAUCUCUCUUACUCCACACUCUCUUCCACUCUUACCUCCCAUCAUCUCUCCUCCUCUUCCUCGAACUCUCCGCCGAUUUCCGCUUCUCCUUCCCAAUAUCCCUCGCACUUUCCUUCUCGCCGACUCUCCUGUCAUUCCUUUCCCCUCUCCUUUUCGGUCUCCUCCUCGACCUAGCUCUCGUCGGCCUAAUUAAAGUCACCUUCCGCCGCUCUCGCCCUCCCUACAAUCCCAAAAUGUCCCCCGCAGUUUCUGCCGACAAUUAUUCCUUCCCUAGCGGCCACGCGUCUCGCGUUUUCUUUAUCGCCUCUCUAGUUUCGCUUUCGAAACCUCAGAUUUUAACUGCUCUUCUAGAAUUGAAUAAAACACGUGGCUGGCUUGAUGGAUAUGAUGAGAAUAAAGUGUUGGAAAUCGCUGUGUUUGUUGUGUGUGUUUGGGCGUUAAUUACUGCUGUAUCUAGGGUUUUGCUAGGUCGGCAUUUUUUACUUGAUGUUUUAUUUGGUGCUUGUUUGGGGGUUUUUGAAGGAAUUAUCGCCUUUCGGUUUCUCCGAUUUGAGGAUUUCUUGAGCAACUUGCUUAACUAUCAAUGGAGUGGCCAAAAAUUAAACUAAAGUGAUUUGAUUGAAGUCGUAGCUGUAGGAGAUGCUUACAUGGUCCCUAAUUGCGACACAUUGGGAUAUGCAGUUAUUUCUAACAUUUUCCAGAUGGCAGAUACAUGUUGAGAACAUAACAUCCUAUUCGCGCUAUGCUAGCCCCAGAAUGCUUUGCUGGAUUGGUUUAAGGAUUAGCUAACGCAUAUCACUCGGCUAUUCUAUUCUUUGCUUCCGAAACAGCUUUGGAGAGUUGAAAAUUAAUUCUCUUAUUGAUCUUUCCACUCUGUUGGUUGUCAUGUAGGGAACUCAUGGAUAACUUGGGUUGCUGCGGCAAGGAUUUAAUUGUGUUGUGAGAAGGUAACUAUUCUUAUCGAUUUCUAAUCUAAAAGCAGUUAGCUCAAUAAUUAACUCAGCGUGUUCUUUUGCAAAGUUUUUUUUUUUUUUUUUAAGAUAUAUGAUAACUUGAUAAGCUUUAUCUGAUAAGAUAAUGUUGAUUGAUUGAUGUGUUUUCUUUAGCUUUCUAUGCAAUUUGGAAAAAGACAUUCUAAACUUUACUAGAUUAGCUCCCACAAUUUGAAAUAUUUUAGUUGCAUCAUUGCGAUAUUAUCAUGGUAGAAAUGUGGUAUACAUCCAGACUAAAAGGAUUUUUCAACAUUUCUUUUUGAUUUAGUGAACUAAAGGGACCCUGACAUCUAUUGGCAUCAAAUGGAAUCAAAGGAUCAUUCUUACUGUAUCUACAUGUUCAUAUGUUGUUGAAAAUUAAACUUUAGACUUCAUGUGUGAUUAUUGUUUUUGUGUCUAUUUCUAAUUGCUGUUGCUGAAAACAAUUUGCACUUGCAUGCUACAUUUUGUUGGUAAUCGCAUAUGUGUGCUCCUGUAGAAACUAGGGAUCGUCUUUAUCAAUCCUACCACCAAUGGGCCCCUAAAACUUAUGCCAUCUACAAGGGGUUAGUCUAAUUGGCUGGUGGGUUUUGCUCAUAUUCUCUCGGUUUAAAUUCUCCUAGAUGUACUGCAUACCCUUGGUGUAUGGUGUGUCUUUUCGUACUUAUAGAGGGAUGAAUUAGUCUAGGGUAUGCAAAAACUGAACCCCAACCAAAACAAAUUUGGUUUGGUUUGGUUUGAAAUAAUUAAAAAUUCAGUUUUGGAUUCAGCUCAGUUUGGUUUGAAAUAUUUAAAAUUCUUAUAUAAUCGGUUUGGUUUGAUUCUGAAGAAAAUUAAAAUCUUGAUUUGGUUUGAUUUGGUUCAGACGAAUUCAUGCCCCUAGACUGCGGUAAAGCUAACAUGCCACCAGUUUAGUUUCUUCCCUUUCUUUUCAUUUUUUUUCUUUCAGAAACGUCCAUUUUUCCUUUUAGUUGCCAACAUGCAAAUGAGGUUUGUUUAGGAUUGAUUGAAAUGCUGUUCAAGCUUGUGUAUUUGCUGAAGGCUACUUCUGUGCCUUUUUGCUUUUCAAUUUUGUUUUAGAACUAGCUCCACACUCUUUUGGAUCACAAAACUGACCCAUCCACUAUUCAGGCUUUAGUAGAGGAUUGAUCAUGUGUAUUUGCUAUCUUGGCAUUGAAAUUUCUUUCAGAAAACAAACGUUUCAUGCUUUGUGGCAAUUAUCUAGCUUUCGCUUUAGAAAUAGUUCCUUCCAACCAAGUCAACAAUAACAAGAAGCUGUCAUUUUCCGUAACACAUCAUUGGGUAACUUUUUCAUCUGCAUUCUUAGAAAAUUGGGGUUGAGAUCAUGAGAAUCUCUAUGAUUAUAGCACUUAGUACAGAAAUGCAUUACCCUUUGCCAAAAAAUCAAAAUUUUGAACUAAUUUACAUACAGUUAAUAAUUGCGGGGGACCAUAGAUUUCUGUAUAUGAAUUCAUCUUAUCUUCAUUAGUUUACCCACCAACUAAAUAGUGUGCAUUCUAUUUAUACUGGAAGGAAGCAAAGGAUUUAGUACAAAAACGACACGACUUAUGCCUAAGAUUUCGUCAACAUCUUCUUCACCUUCACAUGGAGCUUCAAAUAGCAGGAAUGGUUAAUGAUGUUGUUUAGUAGAACUGUCGCUAGUUCAACUUCUACAUUGAUAUGUCUAUGCAGAUAGCUCUAGCCACGGUCCGGUUUGAGUCUGGAAUCGGCCAAACCCGUAACUGGGCCCGAACCGCACAGAAACCGCGGGAGAACCGUUCCGGAACGGUUCUAUUUUUCUUAGAACCGUGAACUGGCGGUUCUGUACCGUAAAUGCCGGGUCAUUAACCUUGGCCAGAGCUAUAUGCAGGGGACCCAAGAUAACAGUGAUAGAAAAGAGAAGUGAAAUUCAAAAUUUGGACCGACAUGGUGAAGCUAUAUGUAUUAAGUGGCAGAAAUGUUGGACCAAAAAGACCAGUCAAAGUAUUUCAUUUAAGUUUUAGGACCAAACUAAGAUAAAAAAAAAAUGAUGAGCUGAGAGAGAAAUGAAAAAGGGUUAGGGUAGCAGCUGGUAUAUGUAUUGAUAAAAGCUUGGUGAGUUCGUACUGUUACUGUCAACAUUGUCAUUGAUCAUUCUGCUAAAUCAAAAAAAUGACAUGUGAUGUGAGGAUAACUGGGUCUUCUGCUCUUUCUACAAAAACAUACAAAUUUUAAUUUUGGGAUUUUUGUCUUGUGGAUUGGAAUUGGUCAUUGGCAAUACUUGAAACUGAUUUUCUUUGGUCAGAACUGGUCUUUCCAUUUUCCCAUAAAAAGGAGUUUUGAGGACCACUUGGAAUUUAUUAUAUACAUGGUUUUGGAUUGAAUGUUUUAUUUUUUGUUUCUUUUAAAUUUUUCUUUUUGGGUUUGGUUUGGUUUUGAGUCUCAGCCACUUGAUGAUUAUCAAUGAUCAUCAGUGGCAGAAAGGCAGAGAACCUGGGGCAGAAAAUGUUCAGAAGAGAGACACUGACACAAGAUGGAAGAUAAAUACUGAAACUGGAUCACUCAUCUACACUAUAUUGUCAAUGUGGGCCUAGCCUGAAUGGUUAAGGCGUCUCUAAGUGCAUCGAAAGGUUGUGGGUUCGAACCACGCUUCGGUAACUAACAACUAACAUGAGACUCUUUCCACCUUUGAUAAAAAAAAUCUACACUAUAUUUUUAUGUGUGUAUGCUUAGCUAAGCUGGGAAUAAGACAUUUUAGUUCUUCAUUUUGAAGAAUGUGAGAACUUAAAUACUCUGAAGAGUAAUUCAACUAACUCCUCUCAUCAAGGAUAGAAUGUAAUUAAUUUCUUAUCAUUUAGGUAAAAUUUAAUUUAAUUGGUGUAUUGA